GAUGAACGCUGGCGGCGUGCCUAAUACAUGCAAGUCGAGCGAACGGACGAGAAGCUUGCUUCUCUGAUGUUAGCGGCGGACGGGUGAGUAACACGUGGAUAACCUACCUAUAAGACUGGGAUAACUUCGGGAAACCGUAGCUAAUACCGGAUAAUAUUUUGAACCGCAUGGUUCAAAAGUGAAAGACGGUCUUGCUGUCACUUAUAGAUGGAUCCGCGCUGCAUUAGCUAGUUGGUAAGGUAACGGCUUACCAAGGCAACGAUGCAUAGCCGACCUGAGAGGGGGAUCGGCCACACUGGAACUGAGACACGGUCCAGACUCCUACGGGAGGCAGCAGUAGGGAAUCUUCCGCAAUGGGCGAAAGCCUGACGGAGCAACGGCGCGUGAGUGAUGAAGGUCUUCGGAUCGUAAAACUCUGUUAUUAGGGAAGAACAUAUGUGUAAGUAACUGUGCACAUCUUGACGGUACCUAAUCAGAAAGCCACGGCUAACUACGUG
rnacentral:rRNA from 1 species